GCGGAAGCGAGUCAGGGCUCAAGGCUCCUCCUGCUCUGUUCACUCCUGGGUCCCCUUGAGUGUCUGGUUCCUGCCGGUUUUCCCAGGAGACCCCAGGCCAGCUGCAGGAGGCCGGGGUUGGACCUUCCAUCCAGCUGAGUCCACUCACCUCCAAGAGCUCUGAUCAGGGCCCUCUGGGUGCUGCUGUCCACACAAGGCCGGCUCUGUCUCUGCCUCCCUGCCCCACUCAGGGAGGGUUGGGUCAUGGUAGGGAGGCCCUGGGGUGCUCAGAGCGUCUGGGCAGCAGGAGUACAUCGCUUCCAAGAAGGAUCAGUUUCCCAACGCUGAGGCCAACACUGUCUGGAGCCCUGAGGAGGGCCCCAGGUGGCAGAUACCAGGACGGGUGCAGCCUCUGCCACCCUCACCUCCCCAAAGCAUCCGGUCUCAGGCACAGGGAAUUGUAGCCGAGGGCCAGGGUCCCAGGAGGAUCAAAGGUGGGACCUUCCAGGGUGGUCUCCUGUGACCGUCACUGCUUUCAAACCACCAGGGGCAGCGCGUCUGCCCCCACAGCCUGUGCCACCAGGAGAGACCAGGCCAUCCAUCUGGGUUUAAUUUGGAAAUUAGGCAGUGUUCAAGUUCCAUUAUGUGGCAGAAUUAGCCGCAGAAGCCAAGGCAGCGUCACGCAUGGAGAAUGAGCUAUGGCUUCGUUAAUCAGGGGAGACAGCGCUGGGAACCAGGAGGCCGGCGAGGUCACCAGAGGAAGGAGGGGCUGCAGCCGCCGUGGGGUGCCAGACACCUGGGCCCCACCUCGCCGCCAUCUGCCCUCAUAAACCCGGGUCUGGUGGGCUCCCAGCUCUGGCCGGCCCAUUCCAGGCCAGACAUCUGCCUCACUGCCAGCUGCCCCGAGAAACCCUAAUGUGGUGGGCUCCCAGCUCCAGUUCCCAGCUCCAGCCGGUCCGUCUCCGGGACACUCCCGGGUAUGGGUGUUUGUUCUCUACCCUGCUCCUCUGCCCGAAGCCGGUCUCCCUCCUCAGACCUGACUCCAUUCCAGGAACCCCCAUGAAAGGGGCAGGUGGGCCAUUUGACGGGGAGGUUGGGAUCUCUGCUGGGUGAUAGGGGCUUAAACCACCAUCUGUGGCAACGCUGGGAGGACAGGACAAGACUCAGCGUGUCCGG
rnacentral:lncRNA from 1 species